GUUGUGGCUCAGUGGUAGAUCUCUUGCCUAGUAUGUAUAAGGCACUGGGUUCGAGUCUCAGCAUUACA
rnacentral:tRNA from 1 species